GACAGAGGUGCCAAGCGUUAGGCGGAAUCACUGGGCUUAAAGCGUGUGUAGGCGGAUUUGUAAGUACCUUGUGAAAUCCCACGGCUCAACCGUGGAACUGCUCGGUAUACUGCUUAUCUUGAGCCACUUAGGGGCUACCGGAACAAAUGGUGGAGCGGUGAAAUGCGCAGAUAUCAGGAGGAACACCGGUGGCGAAGGCGGGUCUCUGGGCCGUAACUGACGCUGAGGAGCGAAAGCGUGGGGAGCGAACAGG
rnacentral:rRNA from 1 species